rnacentral:lncRNA from 1 species
GUGAGUGAAGGGGCGGGGUGGGAGGAGAGACCCGAGGCGAGCGUACAGAGUAGGGCUCGGAGGCUUCGGGUGGAGUCUCUGGUGUAUACUGCGCAUGUGCCAAUUUAUUUUCCGAGCGGGGAACCCUUGUCCCAUUUCUCGAGGAUUACCUAUCCCAGUGGUUCUCAGCCCUGACUGUACAUUAAAGUCAUCUGGAGAAUUCAAAAUAUGUCUGUGCUCGGUCCCUAGCCCUACCCAGUAUUUUUGGGCGUGGAGUCCAGGUAUCAGUAUAAAAAUUCCCCAAGUGGUUUGAAUGUGGACUUAGGCUUGAGAACUAUGUCCUUGGACUUCUUUCCUUCCUCUAUCUUUGGUUUAGUGUACCAUCUUUGAACUUCCUUUAGCAAUGAGGAAGCUGGGGCACAGAAAGCUAAGUAAACUUCCCAAAUCACACAGAGAAAUGCAAAGUGAAAUUUCAAACCCAGGCAUCUGGCCUCAGAGUGUUCAGUCUCAAUCCCUACCCUAGACUGGUAAGUGUGAAAGGAGAGGAAGACUGGAAGUCAAGGGGUUUCAGCAAUGAUUUGAACUUUUAUAGAGAUAGAGGUGUCUAAGGGUGGGCAAAGCGUUAUGAGUUUUCAGAGCGUCAGACCGGAUCUGAAGCCAGAAUUUUGAAGCAAAAAGGGACACGGGGAGUUCCCAUCGUGGCGCAGUGGUUAACGAAUCCGACUAGGAACCAUGAGGUUGCGGGUUCGGUCCCUGCCCUUGCUCAGUGGGUUAACGAUCCGGCAUUGCCGCGAGCUGUGGUGUAGGUUGCAGACGCGGCUCGGAUCCCACGUUGCUGCGGCUCUGGUGUAGGCCGGCAGCUACAGCUCCGAUUCGACCCCUAGCCUGGGAACCUCCAUAUGCCGCGGGAGCAGCCCAAGAAAUAGCAAAAAGACAAAAAAAAAAAAAAAAAAAAAAAAAAGGGACGCGGAAGCUGCUCAUUUUGUUGAAGCCCAGAGGUGCCCACUAGACUAAAAGCUCUAUCAACACAGUAAUCAUGUCCAUUUGGUUCACUGCUGGGUACACCUGCAACACAUAGCACUGGAUCUGGUGCAGAGUAGUCACUCACUAAAAAUAUCUGUCAGCUGAGUGUGAUAACUGAACAUAAAUAUGUGUCUUGGAAUGGAUGGGUAUUUGGUUGAACCAUAUGAAACUGCAUUUGUUAGUUUUAAUUCUUCAGCAAAGCCCUCCCUCGUCUUACUUUUCCUUAUUUCCCUUUCUUGCUAAAGCUUGCCAUUUACCAUUUUCAUGUCUUUCUAUACACCUUCUUAAAA